UGCUGCUGUUAAAAAGCUCGUAGUUGGAUCAAGAGUUCCACAGUGCACGGUGGCCCUGGUUGUCGAGGUGGAUCCGUUCACCGAGACGCCAGUGGAUCAACCCUGUGCGCCAAACUGUGGUCUCUAAUCGACCGAAGCGGUUCCCUGUGAGUAGGCUCCUUCAUUGGGGCUGAAAGCGAUUACGCAUCAACCAUAUGCAUACGGGACGUCGGUCAAUGUUACUGUGAACAAACCAGCGUGUCCAAAACAGGCUUUCGCCCGAAUGUUCGAGCAUGGAAUAACAAGGGAUCGAUUCUCUCGGUUCUUUUUGUUGGUUUUUAACCCGAGAAGGAGUAAUUCAGGCCACGGUGUCUGAGUUGGGUUCCCCUUCACCUCGGUGAAGGCCCCAAUUAGGCCGUGUCCUUACGGGAUAAAUAGGGACUGACGGGGUCGUACGUACUUCUACGUCAGAGGUGAAAUUCUUAGAUCGUGGGAAGACGAACUUCUGCGAAAGCAUUCGACAAGAAUGUCUUCAUUAAUCAAGAACGAGAGUGUGGGGAUC
rnacentral:rRNA from 1 species